UUUSGACUUGGCYGACUUCGAGUCCCUUGCCGUAACGGUGCGUGAGUGGUGUUUGGCUUGUUACGGGCGUUUGGAUGUCUGCUUGUGCAGCAACUUUCGUCGGUACACGCCUUUUCAUUGGUGCAUCAAGGCUUCUUGUAACCUUGGGCUACGAUCGUGGGACUCCUGUGUUGCCUACCUAUGCUACGGUAUUGCUUCGUUUUAUGCGCGUCCCUUCUUCGUCGUGCGUCGCUCUCUCGGCGCAAGGCGAACCGCGAAGCAUGCUCGGUGUUCCCUCUCGAUGACCUACGGUCGUCCGGGAAGGGCGCAUGGAGUGCUUGCUUGGUCUCAUGGGUACCGGAACCUUUCGUGGGUAUGGGGCCUCGAUGGCCUUGUGUUACCCUAAUCAAACAGCGUUUCGCUCAAAGAAAACGACAGCCGAACCCGUACGGGUGAAUGCUCGUACGGUUCGGCUUCGUCGAAAGAGGAAUGC
rnacentral:misc_RNA from 1 species